GACGAACGCUGGCGGCGCGCUUAACACAUGCAAGUCGAGCGAGAACCAGGGCUUCGGCCCUGGGGACAGCGGCGAACGGGUGAGUAACACGUGGGUAAUCCACCCUCGGCACCGGAAUAGCCCGGGGAAACCCGGAUUAAUGCCGGAUGGCCCGCCGGCCCCGAGGGGCUGGCGGAAAAGGUAGCUUCGGCCUCCGGCCGAGGACGAGCCCGCGACGGCUUAGCUUGUUGGUGGGGUAACGGCCUACCAAGGCUGCGAUCCGUAGCUGGUCUGAGAGGACGAUCAGCCACACUGGGACUGAGACACGGCCCAGACUCCUACGGGAGGCAGCAGUGGGGAAUCUUGCGCAAUGGGCGAAAGCCUGACGCAGCGACGCCGCGUGGGGGAAGAAGGCCUUCGGGUUGUAAACCUCUUUCAGGAGGGACGAAGCCACUCGGGUUAAUAGCCCAGAGGGUGACGGUACCUCCAGAAGAAGCCCCGGCUAACUACGUGCCAGCCGCCGCCGUAAUAC
rnacentral:rRNA from 1 species